UAAUACGUAGGGAGCAAGCGUUGUCCGGAUUUACUGGGUGUAAAGGGUGCGUAGGCGGCUUUUUAAGUCAGAUGUGAAAUCUAUGGGCUCAACCCAUAAACUGCAUUUGAAACUAGAGAGCUUGAGUGAAGUAGAGGCAGGCGGAAUUCCCUGUGUAGCGGUGAAAUGCGUAGAGAUAGGGAGGAACACCAGUGGCGAAGGCGGCCUGCUGGGCUUUAACUGACGCUGAGGCACGAAAGCGUGGGUAGCAAACAGG
rnacentral:rRNA from 1 species